rnacentral:rRNA from 1 species
UACAGAGGGGGCAAGCGUUGUUCGGAAUUACUGGGCGUAAAGGGCGCGUAGGCGGCCCGCUAAGUCGAACGUGAAAUCUCCACGCUCAACGUGGAGGCGCCACCUGAAACUGCCGUGACUCGAGUCCGGUAGGGGAGUGUGGAAUUCCCGGUGUAGCGGUGAAAUGCGCAGAUAUCGGGAGGAACACCCGUAGCGAAGGCGGCACUCUGGGCCGGUACUGACGCUGAGGAGCGAAAGCGUGGGGAGCAAACAGG